GUGCCUGUGGGAUGAACAGGUCCCAACAUUUACUUCCAUUUUUUCACUUUGUCAGCUAAUAGACACAUGUUUAGCUGAUCAUUAAGAUUGGAAAAUGC